CAAUAGCGUAUAUUAAAGUUGUUGCGGUUAAAAAGCUCGUAGUUGGAUUUCUGCCGAGGACGACCGGUCCGCCCUCUGGGUGUGUAUCUGGUUUGGCCUGGGCAUCUUCUUGGAGAACGUAGCUGCACUUGACUGUGUGGUGCGGUGUCCAGGACUUUUACUUUGAGGAAAUUAGAGUGUUUCAAGCAGGCACACGCCUUGAAUACAUUAGCAUGGAAUAAUAAGAUAGGACCUCGGUUCUAUUUUGUUGGUUUCUAGAGCUGAGGUAAUGAUUAAUAGGGAUAGUUGGGGGCAUUCGUAUUUAACUGUCAGAGGUGAAAUUCUUGGAUUUUUUAAAGACGAACAAUUGCGAAGGCAUCUACCCAGGAUGUUUUUGUUGA
rnacentral:rRNA from 1 species